GAUGAACGCUGGCGGCGUGCCUAAUACAUGCAAGUCGAGCGAACGGACGAGAAGCUUGCUUCUCUGAUGUUAGCGGCGGACGGGUGAGUAACACGUGGAUAACCUACCUAUAAGACUGGGAUAACUUCGGGAAACCGGAGCUAAUACCGGAUAAUAUUUUGAACCGCAUGGUUCAGAAGUGAAAGACGGUCUUGCUGUCACUUAUAGAUGGAUCCGCGCUGCAUUAGCUAGUUGGUAAGGUAACGGCUUACCAAGGCAACGAUGCAUAGCCGACCUGAGAGGGUGAUCGGCCACACUGGAACUGAGACACGGUCCAGACUCCUACGGGAGGCAGCAGUAGGGAAUCUUCCGCAAUGGGCGAAAGCCUGACGGAGCAACGCCGCGUGAGUGAUGAAGGUCUUCGGAUCGUAAAACUCUGUUAUUAGGGAAGAACAUGUGUGUAAGUAACUGUGCACAUCUUGACGGUACCUAAUCAGAAAGCCACGGCUAACUACGUG
rnacentral:rRNA from 1 species